rnacentral:ncRNA from 1 species
GUUGUAAUCAGGAUGCACACAGAAACAGAGGAAAUUGUGAAAUUACGUAAGAGUUUGAAAGAAAUACAAGACUUAUAAAAAAAGAAAACAAACAAAAUCAAGCUAGUCGGAAACAACGAGGUUGUUGUCACCAUGAUAGUAGAAGUCGCCGUUUUUAGUUGGUAGAGCAACUUGUCUGAUAACGAGCUAGACCUUAGCCUACUAACUAGUUAGUACACUGGUUCUCUGUGCACGUUCAGGACACGGCUUCCAUUGCUUCUUUAUGGAGUAAUAUUGUCGUUAUCUAGCAGGUACGGUGCCAGUUUCUACUUCUUAGAGGGACAAACAGCUCAUUGAAGUCAUAUGGAAUUGAGCACUAAUAGGUCUGUAAUGCUAUUAGAUGUCCGGAGCCAAAAUAGAAUUGCUAGCGUGUUUCAGAACCUGGCGUGAAAGGGUUGGGUAAACUGUUUUAUCAGCAUCAUGGCUGGGGUCGGGAAACAAGGAAUUCCUCGUAAGUGCAAAUCAUAUUCUUGAGUUGAUUACAUCCCUACCCUUUAAACACACCACUCAUCUCUGCUCCCGAUUGAAUGGUUUAGUAAAGCCGUUGGAUUAACAUCGUUGCAAUAGCUCUGCAUCUCGACGGAUUCCUAGAACACUGUCUCAUUUGACUAUUUAGAUGAAUUAAUAGAAAGAUCAUUGCGAGAUAUUCUUACAUGUAUCUAUAUG